rnacentral:tRNA from 1 species
UCCCGUGUGGGUCAGUUGGUAGAGCAUGGUGUUUGCAACGCCAGGGUUGUGGGUUCGAUUCCCACGUGGGAC